GACGUAGGGGGCUAGCGUUGUCCGGAAUCAUUGGGCGUAAAGCGCGUGUAGGCGGUCCGGUAAGUCCGCUGUGAAAGUCGGGGGCUCAACCCUCGAAAGCCGGUGGAUACUGUCGGGCUAGAGUACGGAAGAGGCGAGUGGAAUUCCUGGUGUAGCGGUGAAAUGCGCAGAUAUCAGGAGGAACACCAAUUGCGAAGGCAGCUCGCUGGGACGUUACUGACGCUGAGACGCGAAAGCGUGGGGAGCAAACAGG
rnacentral:rRNA from 1 species